rnacentral:rRNA from 1 species
GUAGGGAAUCUUCCACAAUGGACGCAAGUCUGAUGGAGCAACGCCGCGUGAGUGAAGAAGGUCUUCGGAUCGUAAAGCUCUGUUGUUGGUGAAGAAGGAUAGAGGCAGUAACUGGUCUUUAUUUGACGGUAAUCAACCAGAAAGUCACGGCUAACUACGUGCCAGCAGCCGCGGUAAUACGUAGGUGGCAAGCGUUGUCCGGAUUUAUUGGGCGUAAAGCGAGCGCAGGCGGAAUGAUAAGUCUGAUGUGAAAGCCCACGGCUCAACCGUGGAACUGCAUCGGAAACUGUCAUUCUUGAGUGCAGAAGAGGAGAGUGGAACUCCAUGUGUAGCGGUGGAAUGCGUAGAUAUAUGGAAGAACACCAGUGGCGAAGGCGGCUCUCUGGUCUGCAACUGACGCUGAGGCUCGAAAGCAUGGGUAGCGAACAGGAUUAGAUACCCUGGUAGUCCAUGCCGUAAACGAUGAGCGC